UACGGAGGGUGCAAGCGUUAUCCGGAUUCACUGGGUUUAAAGGGUGCGUAGGCGGGCAGGUAAGUCCGUGGUGAAAUCUUCGAGCUUAACUCGGAAACUGCCGUUGAUACUAUCUAUCUUGAAUACCGUGAAGGUGAGCGGAAUAUGUCAUGUAGCGGUGAAAUGCUUAGAUAUGACAUAGAACACCAAUUGCGAAGGCAGCUCGCUACACGAAUAUUGACUCUGAGGCACGAAAGCGUGGGGAUCAAACAGG
rnacentral:rRNA from 1 species